CUAAUCAAAGAAUGAAAUAUCAAAUUUCAAAAUACUAAAAUUUUCAAAUAUCUAAUCUUACGAUAGCCCCACAACGUUCUCUAUUUAUUGAAAAAAGAAAUAGGCUUGACCUUGAGUUUUUAGAAUGUCGGUCAUCUGACAUAGCCUUGUACAAUCCUCGUAGAAUUCCGAACCAUAUCUGCAAAAUGAAUCAAAAUUUUUGGCUUUAAGAAAAUAUCCCAACCAAACCUUUAGAUCCAUCCAGCAAUUGAUUCUACCAGCUAAAAAAUUUGUUUGUAUAUAUUUGCAUACGUACGUGCGAAUAAAGAAGUGAUUUACAUCUGCAGUAACAUUUCCCAAGUCCAAAUAUCAAUUAAAACAGAGAACCUUGCAACGAAUUCGUGUAACUCUUUAAGACAAACGGUGAUGGUCACAAUCCUUGGCGGUAAUCUUUAUGACAAGCUCCACCAUGGCUGUACUAGUUAAGCUCAAAUAGGCGACGUGCUACGCAAAGAUACUGCAGUUGCUGAUUGACUGACAUGGCUUCUUCUCCAUUCUUGCUCUUCCUUUGAUAGUGAUUACCACCUGUUAUUUAAUAUUAACUGCAGUAAUUUCUUUAAAAUUUUUACCGUAUUUGCUGCCCCCAGACUCAGUGUAGAGUAGUUCAGUGGAUUAGAUUGUGUGCAGAGCUUCACCUAGCAGAACAAGCAGCGGUAUCCCCUUGACUUUCCGGCAUCACUUGCCAGACUUGGUACUUUACUUGAGUAUAGAGAUGCAGGGUUGGUCCUGAAGGAAAGUGUCACUGAUAUUUUUAGAGUACUUUGCACAUGCGUUGACUCCCUGAACAUGAUAGUAGCUUCUUAUGAUAUGCAUGACAAUUAGUCUCGUUCUCACCUCAUCGUCUUGAGCCAGCGAAGCGGGUGCCAUAUGCAUUUUGUUCGCUGUACUCGAACCACCAUCUCAAUGAAUGAGUUCACCAAGUGAUGCUUUUAUGCAGUUCAUUUUCGUUCUUUAGCAGGCUUUCUGUCUUUCCAGUUAAGAAUUACAAUCCAUCCUUUCACUAUCAUUUUCCUAUCAUGGGUCUUUUAUAACUAAAGGUCAAGUCUUAAUUAUCAUAAUACAUGAGGUCUUCAGAUGUUAAUAUACAUAAUCCAUCCCCAAAAUUAGCUAGUAGCUAUAUUAUUUAAUUUUGUGUUACGAUUACAUUUUAUUCUAAAACAAUAUGUAGUUCACAAGAGUCCCUAAAUAUUUUGCAUUAAAAGCUAUGAGAUUAAAAACCAUAUAGUAUUUAGGCUAAAAAUAUGGAAUCUAUCAUGUUAAAACUAAUAUCC
rnacentral:lncRNA from 1 species